rnacentral:lncRNA from 1 species
UGAAAAGUUGUUGCAUAAGAUAUAAUUUGAUUUUAUUUAUAUAAAUUUUUGGUUGUACUAAUUUUAUGACUAGUCACUCAUGGCUUGGUGGCUAAAACAUCUUAUGUUUGCCAUAAGGGCCUUAGUUCAAGUUCAAUCGUUGGGCUCUCGUAAUUAUUUGGUUUAGAUUAAUCUUUUUUGUAUCUCCUAUUUAAUUAAAAAAAACAUUGUUGCUUUAUUCUAUUUUUGUUUUUAUUUUAUUUUUAUUUUUUAAAUGCGUCAAAAAAGUAAAUUAUUUAUUUAUUCAUAUAUUUAUUUACUUUUUUUAAUUGACUUAUUUUUGGGUCUUUGUAUAUAAGUUAUUUUGUAGGAGGGUCCAUUCAACUCCUUUUGUAUUCCAAUCUUCGUACUUCGAUCAUUUGAACCUCAAACCUUCACACUCCAAUAUUCAAUUUUUUUUCUCUCUCAUUAAAAUGUGAAGAAAAAGAUUACCUUGAAUGGAAUAUCCAGUCGUAAUCUCGAAUAUUAGGCUCAAGUUGUAAGAGCUUGUAAGCCCUAUGUAUUCGUCUUCUCUUUAAAAUGCUCCAAUAUUCAAAUCUUUUUCUCAAUAAAAUCUGAAGAAAAAGAUUAUCCUGGAUGGAAUAUCCAGUCGUAAUCCCGAAUAUUAGACCCAAAUUGUAAGAGCUUGUAAGUCAUAUGUAUUCGGCUUCUCCUCUAAAACACUUGUAAAUAUUCACACAAAAAAUUCCAAUAAAAUUGAAAGAAAUAUAUUACCUGGGUGAAAGGUCCAGACGUAGUCCCGAGUAUUAGACCCAAGUUGUAAGAGCUUGCAAGUCAUAAAUAUUCAUCUUUCAAGCCCAAAAAUACAUCCAACCAAUCAAACACUUUUUCGCCGCCGCGCGAUUGAUUAGAAAAUCUUUUUCAUAAACGAAAGACAUCUUGUCUUAAGAUGAUGCAAAGAAAUGCUUCGGCCACAAUUGUUGAAUUGAGAUAAGUGACGUUUUUCCAAAUGUUGAUUUGUAAAUCCAUUCGAUGUGUGGUAUACGUCUGCUCCUCAUCUGUUUUGGGUAAAAUAUUGUUUUCGUCUAUUAAUGCAAUAUAGCUUUCGCUAAAAUCGACCAACAAACAAAUAUUUUUCUACCAGAAACUACGUAAGCCUUGAGUUCUCUAUUGAGAUACGUAGGAGCAGGAUUGUGAAAUCUUGUCAGGCCCAUUAAUAAAAAACUUAGGUUUAGUCCCCUUCGUUGCAAAAAAAUCCAAAAACAUCUUCUCUUUUCUUUUGAUCCUAUUAUUCUUUCCCUCAUAAUAUCUUGAGAAUCCUAACAUUUCAAGCUAACACUAAUGCGCACAAUUAACCUAAUGGUUCCCGUUGAGUACAACGGACGUGAGGGGUGCUAAUACCUUCCCCUUGCAUAAUCGACUCUCGAACCCUGAUUUGGUUGCGACGACCAUAAUCAUUGUCGUUCUUUCUUGGGUUUUAUCGAUAUUUCCCCUUUCCUUUUUAGGGAUAAUUAAAGUUCGAUGGCGAAUCUGUUCAGUCCAUAAUUGCGAGCGUGCAAUUGCGCCUCGCUUAGUCGUGUUUUCAUUUUUCGAGGUGCGACAGAUGGCGACUCUAUUCAGUCCAUAAUUGCGAGCGUGCAAUUGCGCCUCGCUUAGUCGUGUUUUCAUUUUUCGAGGUGCGACAGAUGGCGACUCUGGUGGGGACACAUUUGUCUCCCUAAGUGAGUCAAGCCUAGUUAGGUUGUUUAUGUGCCUUUGCUUGUUUACUUUUGUGGCUUUUCUUUAUUGUUUUUUCUAUGUUUAUUGUCUUAUUGAUAAAAUAUGAUGUAUUGGUUCGAUUAUGCUUUGGUACUUGGAAGUCAUAAAUACUCGGGUCUAAUACUCGGGACUACGUCUUUUAAGCCCCAAAAUACAUUCAACCAAUCAAACUCUUUUUCUUCGCCGUGCGAUUGAUCAGAAAAUCCUUUUCAUAAAUGAAAUACAUCUUAUCUUAAGAUGAUGCAAAGCAAUGCUUCGGCCAGAAUUGUUGAGUUGAGAUAAGUGACGUUUUUCCGAAUGUUGAUUUCUAAAUCCAUUCGAUGUGUGGUAUACGUCCGCUCCUCAUCUGUUUUGGUAAAACAAUGUUUUCGUCGAUUAAUACAAUAUUUCUUUCGCUAAAAUCGACCAACAAACAAAUAUUUUUCUACCCAAAACUACGUAAGCCUUGAGUUCUCUAUUGAGAUACGUAGAAGCAGGAUUGCGAAAGCUUGUCAGGCCCAUUAAUAAAAAACUUAGGUUUAGUCCCCUUCGUUGCAAAAAAAUGCAAAAACAUCUUCUCUUUUCUUUUGAUCCUAUUAUUGUUUCCCUCAUAAUAUCUUGAGAAUCCUAACAUUUCAAGCUAACACUAAUGCGCACAAUUAACCUAAUGGUUCCCGUUGAGUACAACGGACGUGAGGGGUGCUAAUACCUUCCCCUUGCGUAAUCGACUCCCGAACCCUG